AAAAGAAACCAACAGGGAUUGCCUCAGUAACGGCGAGUGAAGCGGCAACAGCUCAAAUUUGAAAUCUGGCCCCCCGGGCCCGAGUUGUAAUUUGCAGAGGAUGCUUCUGGCGCGGUGCCUUCCAAGUCCCCUGGAACGGGGCGCCAUAGAGGGUGAGAGCCCCGUCCGGUUGGCCGCCAAGCCUGUGUGAAGCUCCUUCGACGAGUCGAGUAGUUUGGGAAUGCUGCUCUAAAUGGGAGGUAGACCCCUUCUAAAGCUAAAUACCGGCCAGAGACCGAUAGCGCACAAGUAGAGUGAUCGAAAGAUGAAAAGCACUUUGAAAAGAGGGUUAAACAGUACGUGAAAUUGUUGAAAGGGAAGCGCUUGUGACCAGACGUGCACCGGGUGUUCAGCGGGCGUUCUCGCCCGUGCAUUCGCCCCGGUGCAGGCCAGCGUCGGUUCGGGCGGGGGGAUAAAGGCGCCAGGAACGUAUCUCCCCCGGGAGUGUUAUAGCCUGGCGCGUCAUGCCCCCGCCUGGACCGAGGUUCGCGCUCCGCAAGGACGCUGGCGUAAUGGUCCCCAGCGGCCCGUCUUGAAACACGGACCAAGGAGUCGAGGUUUUACGCGAGUGUCUGGGUGUCAAACCCGCACGCGUAAUGAAAGUGAACGUAGGUGGGAGCUUCGGCGCACCACCGACCGAUCCUGAUGUUUUCGGAUGGAUUUGAGUAGGAGCGUAGGGCCUCGGACCCGAAAGAUGGUGAACUAUACUUGGAUAGGGUGAAGCCAGAGGAAACUCUGGUGGAGGCUCGCAGCGGUUCUGACGUGCAAAUCGAUCGUCAAAUCUGAGUAUGGGGGCGAAAGACUAAUCGA
rnacentral:rRNA from 1 species